CUUGUACUCCCUCCGUCCGAAAAUACUUGUCACUGAAAUGGAUGUGUCUAGAUGUAUUUUAGUUCUAGACACAUCCAUUUUGAUGACAAGUAAUUCUGACGGAGGGAGUACUUG
rnacentral:pre_miRNA from 1 species